CGGCGGACGGGUGAGUAACACGUGGGUAACCUACCUAUAAGACUGGGAUAACUUCGGGAAACCGGAGCUAAUACCGGAUAAUAUUUCGAACCGCAUGGUUCGAUAGUGAAAGAUGGUUUUGCUAUCACUUAUAGAUGGACCUGCGCCGUAUUAGCUAGUUGGUAAGGUAACGGCUUACCAAGGCGACGAUACGUAGCCGACCUGAGAGGGUGAUCGGCCACACUGGAACUGAGACACGGUCCAGACUCCUACGGGAGGCAGCAGAG
rnacentral:rRNA from 1 species